rnacentral:rRNA from 1 species
AUUGAACGCUGGCGGCAGGCCUACCACAUGCAAGUCGAGCGGAUGAAGGGAGCUUGCUCCUGGAUUCAGCGGCGGACGGGUGAGUAAUGCCUAGGAAUCUGCCUGGUAGUGGGGGAUAACGUCCGGAAACGGGCGCUAAUACCGCAUACGUCCUGAGGGAGAAAGUGGGGGAUCUUCGGACCUCACGCUAUCAGAUGAGCCUAGGUCGGAUUAGCUAGUUGGUGGGGUAAAGGCCUACCAAGGCGACGAUCCGUAACUGGUCUGAGAGGAUGAUCAGUCACACUGGAACUGAGACACGGUCCAGACUCCUACGGGAGGCAGCAGUGGGGAAUAUUGGACAAUGGGCGAAAGCCUGAUCCAGCCAUGCCGCGUGUGUGAAGAAGGUCUUCGGAUUGUAAAGCACUUUAAGUUGGGAGGAAGGGCAGUAAGUUAAUACCUUGCUGUUUUGACGUUACCAACAGAAUAAGCACCGGCUAACUUCGUG